UCUCCCAUGGGGUGCAGGGCCCAAGCACCUGGGCCAUCCUCCACUGCACUCCCUGGCCACAGCAGAGAGCUGGCCUGGAAGAGGGGCAACCGGGACAGAAUCCGGCGCCCCAACCGGGACUAGAACCCGGUGUGCCGGCGCCGCAGGCGGAGGAUUAACCCACUGAGCUGCGCCGCUGGCCCCAGCUCUGCUCUUGAUCCAGCCCACGGCUAAUGCACAUCCUGGGAGGCCACAGGUGGUGGCUCAAGAACUUGGGCCCCUGCCACCACGUGGGAGCCCAAACUGAGAUCCAGAUUCCUGGUUUCAGCCUGGCCUGGCCCAGCCCUGCCUGCUGUGGGCGUUUGGGGAGUGAACCAGGGGAUCGCAUAUCUCUCUGUCUCUUUGCCUUUCAAAAUAAAAUGAAAAUAAAUGUUAAAAGUUUUUUUUUAUUUCAACUUAAUUAUGCAGCACACAGCAAGCGUGUUUUGCAUGAUUGGUUUCCUUGGUAAUCCUGGGUGCUUCUGCUCUACUCCUUGACAAACAUCACUUGAGAAGUCCCCAUGGGUAUCGCAAGCAGCAGCCCUGCUCAGACUGCCUCCUGCCCCCUCCCCUCUGGUGUCCCGCCUGCUCCAGUCCCCAGUGGGUCAGCUGCCAGGGGGCUCGCGCUGCCCUCUGCUGGGGUUGGCCCACGCCGCACCUGCUGGCUUUGGCUCAGGGCCUGAGAGCCCUGGGUUGUUCUGCCUGUGACAGGACAUAACGAGAGGUGACUUUGAAGGACUGGCUACGUGAUAGGGCAGAUAAGUGACAUCAAUGCAUGGCAAGAAUGUGUCAACAGUUCUGUGGCCCAGUUCGAGCGCCAAGCAGUUCACGUGAGACUUGGGAGUGAAUGCCCCAGCGUGGAUGGAGUCCCGGGAAGGUCUGGAAUGACAGUCCAGCUCGGAGGAACCGCAGGAAUCAAGCAGCACGCUGGGAAGAGGAUCCACAAGAGGCUGGUUUUAUGGAAAGAAAGGGGCUGAAGGAAGCAGUGGCAAAGACCGGGCCCUGCAAAGCCGCUUGUCUGAAGACGAGACUCUGGACUGGAAAUCAAUAGGCUCGUUGACCAGAGCCGGCGUGCCAGUCUGAGUCCUGGCUGCUCUGCUCCCAGUGCAGCUCCCUGCUAAUGCUCCUGGGAAGGCGGCAGAUGCUGGGCCAAGUGCUUGCGUCCCUGACACCCCCGCAGGAGACCUGAAUGGAGUCCCAGAUCCUGGCUUCAGCCAGGUGCUACAAUGUUACAAGGGUCUGGGCGAGUGAACAGUGGAUUGGAAGAUCUCUCUCUCUCUCUCCCUCUCUCUCUCUCUCUCUCUCUCUCUGGUAAGCAGAUGAAAAUAAAUAAGUAAACUUUAAAAACCCCACAAUUUUAACUACGAAACGUUCCAGGUCAGGAGAGGAUUAGUUUCCUGUGGCUGCUGUGACGGAUGACCACACAUGCAGUGACCCACAACGGCACGAGUUCGGUCCCCUACGGUUCUGAAGACCAGCAGCCCAAAAGCCAGGCGCUGCCAGGGCCGGGCGCCGUCCCUGGCUUCUUCAGCUGCGUGGAGCCGUCUGCAUUCCUUGGCUGUGGCCACUUCCUGCCUCAGCGAAACGCAGGAUGCCCACUUCCACUUCUGGCCACUUCUCCUCUCUCGGUCUCGGAUCUCCUGCCCCUCUCUCCAAGGACCUCGGACUACACUGGGCCCAGCCAGACAACUCAGAACGAUUGAUCUCCCCAGCUCAACCCUGCACCACAUCCCUUUGCUACGUGCACGGGACCACAGGUGUAAAAUGCAAUGCAGCAGACACGCGUGUACAGACCACACACACACAGAACCGAUGCCGACCGCUUGCCCUAUUUUCUUCAGAUGUUUUUUUAAUUUUUAUGUUUACUUGAGACACAGAGAAAAUGAGAGAGAGAGAGAAAGAGAGAGAGAGAAGGAGAGAGAACGAGCGAGUGAGCACUCCAUCCAUUAGUCCACUCCCCAAAUGCCAGACCAGCAACCAGGAACUCAACCCAGGCCUUCCGCGUGGGUGGGCGAGACCCAAUCCCUUUCCAUGGAAUUUCCCCACGGCAUCACCAGCACCCGGUGUUUUCAGAUUUGCUAUAUCUUUUAAGAUCGAUUUUAUUUAUUUGAAAGGCAGAAUUACAGAGAGAGAGAGAGAGAGAGAGAGAGAGAGAGAGAGAGGUCUUCCAUCUGCUGUUUCUCUCCUUGAAUGGCCGCAAUGGCCGGAGCUGCGCUGAUCCGAAGCCAGGAGCCAGGAGCUUCUUCCGGGUCUCCCACGUGGGUGCAGGGGCCCAAGCACUCAGGCCGUCUUCUACUGCUUUCCCAGGCACAUUCACAGGGAGCUGCAUCAGAAGUGGGGCAGCCAGGACCUGAACCGGCACCCAUAUGGUACGCCGGUGCUCAGGCCGGGCCUUUAACCUGCUGCGCCACAGCACUGGCCCCACU